rnacentral:rRNA from 1 species
UACGGGGGGAGCAAGCGUUGUUCGGAUUCAUUGGGCGUAAAGGGUGCGUAGGUGGCGGGGUAAGUCAGGUGUGAAAUCUCGGGGCUCAACCCCGAAACUGCACUUGAUACUGCCUUGCUCGAGUACUGGAGAGGAGAUUGGAAUUUACGGUGUAGCAGUGAAAUGCGUAGAUAUCGUAAGGAAGACCAGUGGCGAAGGCGAAUCUCUGGACAGUUACUGACACUGAGGCACGAAGGCCAGGGGAGCAAGCGGG